GAUGGCCGACGAAACCUAAUUUCGUUCUUCACUUUUCGACUUCCAUCUCUUACCUCUUCCAUUUCUCUUCUCUCCAAAUCCGUUUCGAGGAGUAAUUUCACCGUUGACGUUCCCACUUUUUUCUCUGUUUUCUUCGUCGGUUGGUUCUCAUUCUAUAUAAGCAGAUGAUUAGCGGGGGAUUGAGUAAGGAGGAUUAGGAUGCUCUGGUCGCCGGAAGUUGCAGGGAUAUCCGUAAAAUCCAUUAGAUUCGUAGUUCGGCCAUCAUAGAAGAAAGGUUAUUGGUGCCGUGAUUCUAUGAAGAUCUGAGAGAAUGAGAAUCAAGAUUGUUCCAAAGACCAACCAUAGGAAUCAGAGGAUUCAAAAAAUUCCCCGCACGAAGUCUUUCUCUAACAAGAGCUUAAAAGAUAUAUGCACAUGUAGCUUGGUUCUGUUCCUGAGUAACCCAAAUAUCGUAGAAUGUGUUUACACUACGGGAACUGAGAUAGCGAACAGGGCUAAAGUAAAUUGUAUCCAGAACAAUUGGGCAGUAAACGUUCAGGUGGAUGAUGAUCAAUGAUCAAACAUAUCAGAGAGUACAAAAGGUAUGCUAUAAUGAUGCUGACAUUUUUUUUUUUAAUUCGAAUUACUGAGAUUUUGUUUGCCUCUUGGCCCUUGAUCUUAAAAUUUAACCAAUAUUUGAGAAUAGGGAUUAGGUGCCAGGCCAUUUCUACUGCUCAGCGAGAAGAAAUUUAUUGCCCUUCACCAGUUUACUUAGAACCAAAAUGGUUUCUGGAAUUGAAGGGGUUUUCUUCUCACCUUUUUCUUUAGGAAACAUUUAUCGUACUACUGUGAUUAUAGAUUAUAAACUUUUUGAAUGUCAGAGCUUCGCCUAAGUUUAUGCUUCUUUCAAUAGUGUUCUUUAAACAGCUUAUGAGCCAACAUCUGUAUAUGUGUGUAUGUGCUUGUGAUCAGCAUGUUGCUAUGAUUGUACACUUUUUCUACCUCUUGAAUCAACCAACGGAGAAACAAGUAUAACCAAGUCCUGCUCUUAGUAUAUUAGAGUUUUGGCUUAUUGUUUGGAGAUUUGAGAGUCUCUUUUUUCUACGUGUAUUAAUCUAUAUUCUGCAGUAUUUUACUGUCUUUGCUUUCA